rnacentral:misc_RNA from 1 species
AAGAGAAUCACCAUGGAUUCAUAUGAAGCAACAAGAACAGUUUUAUCAAGAAUUGAAAAUUUGGAUCCAGAAAAUGCAUCAAAAAUCAUGUGUUAUUUGCUAACACAAGAUCAAGGUGAUAAGGAGAUGAUAAGAUUAGCAUUUGGCCCAGAAAAUAUGUUAAUUUCUACUAUAAAUCAAACAAAAACUCGUUUAGGACUUUUAUCAAACAGUUCAUCUGCACCUUCAACACCUUCAUCUUCUUCCCAUUUUGGUUCGAGUAAACUCAACCCAUUUCCUCAAUCUUCACCUAGAAUCAUGAUUCCG